UUGCAGUUUUUUUGGUCUUAAUAAGGUUUUUUUGCCCACAUAGUUGAUGACUCUGAAACGAGGAGAGAAUUUAACCACUCAGUUUUCUGACCUGUCACUGGAUCCUACCCAGUAGUAUCAGAAGGAAGCUGAAAAUGGUGUUAGCUGCACUUAGGACAAACAAAAAUCAUUCCAGGUAAAAUAACCUUGUAAAGAAAAGUAAUAGUGUAUUAUAGAGGCCUUGGCUAGGUUCAUGAUGACAAAGGACCUUGUCUGAACAUAAUGAUUUCAAAACUUGAGCUUAAAUGACACUCUGAAAUCCAGUCAAUGUGCCUCAGUAGACUUUUCAGAGAACAUUAUUUUCAACAGAUAUUUUGACUUACUGUGGAAACUUGAAUACUUAGAAAUGGCAGGUGUAAAUUGUCAGUAUACAUUGCCAAUUCUUCAGACAUCUUUUUUUAAGUUUUCAUAAGAUAUUCUGAGCUUAUUAUUUUUCCCUUCUUUUUAAACAUAUAUGCUGUUGAAAGCAAAAAAGGAAACUCAUCCUUAGAUCCCAGAAGGUGCACACACAUGUUGAGAUGGAAGCAAGGACAUGUAAAAGGGAGACAACAACCUCUUCGAUCAAACAUAGAAUGCCAAAAUUAGUGAUGUCCAGGAAAGAGGGGAACUAAUAUUUGUGGAACAUGUAUUAUAAAAUGCAGUGAGUAUGGGGUGAGAGGAUCUCUACUGCUUAAUUGAGAUGAUGAAGGACCAAUAAGAGAGCAGUAUUUGAAAUCCAGUUCCAAGGAUAUAUUUGUUUUAGAUGUGAAUGUUGAUUAAUGACUUCAGGUAUUAAGUGCAACAAGUCCAUCUAUGCCAAAACUUCAGAUUCUCUAAUUCAUCUGUCUGCCAGAGCAGCCUUUUGGAAAGAUAAUGACAAAUAUCAUCAUGUUGCUUCAAAAAUCUGCAGUUGACAUGUUUCAAGAGUGAUAGAAAUAAGCAAUAAUCAGAGAAGAGGACAAAGAUUAUAUAAAUUGAUAAUAUUUAGAGCAUCUUUUGACUCUGACAGAACUGGAAGUUCUACUUUCACUCCCUGAAUAAGAUGCUCCUGAUAAUCUGGAGAAAUUUUUGCAGCAAGAAAGAAUGUGAUUAAAAUCCACAAUGGUAGAGGAUAAUGUGCGAACCUUUUUCCCAUUAACAUGGACAGGGAAGGAUAGUUUGAGUGCCUCUGCAUUGAUAAAAUUGUAGUUUUCAAGUUAUUCUGGGGUAUCCUGUGCAAUUUUACUUAUGGACUGCUAUGGAAGUCUAAAUCUGAUGUUGAUUUAAGGGGUCACUGACCAGGACCUUCCUGUAGAGACAGUCUAGAUCUUCUGCUCUAUAUCAUGGUCCAACAUGAUCAGCACAUCAUCUCUCAUUCCAAAUUAUUCCCAAAAAUGCAAGUGUGUGAACGUGUCUGCUGAGUUGAAAAUUAUUUCAAGUGGAUGACACUUAAUAGUAUUGGUCUUGUGUGGACAAUCUCAAGUACAUUUAAGCCAGCCUUCUAGGAAGAUAUGAAAAGAAGGGGAAGGACAACACAUCAUGUAUUAAUCUAGAAGUUUCAUCAACUACAAAUAAUCACAGACAAAGAUGCACACAGUCCUGAAAUUCAUCUUUCCUUUCAAAUAUUUAUAUUUCAUUGCUAGUCUUUGAAUUUGGAAAAUAAUCUCAAUAUUUUGCUUUUUAUGGAGUAUCAACUUGCCAUCAAAAUGUUUACCAGUGAGAGCCUUGCAUAUGUGACAUUGAUUACAUAUGUGAUAAACACAAGUAUUAGUUUUCUUUUUUUUUUCUUCCACUGUCUGCCAUUUUAAAAGAGCUAGGAACCUCCUCUAUUAACUAUUUUACUGGACAUAUAUAGCUUAAGAAUUUAUCUAAAUACUUACAAAAAUUGUGAUUGAGUAAUGGUAUUGAAAUGGAAAUAUAAAGUACUCAGUAAAUGAUGAAUAUGCAUGAACUGUUCAUUAGAUAUUUGGUGGUGAAAUGAAAUUAAACAUGUAGUAAUUUUCUAUGUAUUUUAUUCGUUCUUUGCUUAACGUUUUUUGGAAUCUAAUGCUAAAACACAGAGACCUACAUUUAUAAACAAAUCUUUGUUUUUAGGUAUUUUUAAAAAUGGUUGCUGUGAUAAUCGAGGUUUCCUAGGGAAGUUUAUAAAAACAUGUUUGGUAAAACUGCCUUCUGGAAAAUAUUUUAGAAAGAAAUGGGCCAUUUUGUUAAGAUGUACUGAAUUCUAUAUUUAUUGUACAAGUGCUUAUGUAAAGCAAAGAGGAAAUGGGCAUGGGAGCAUUUACUAUAUUAAUCAGGAAAAAAUGUAAGGUACUAGUUAUUUAUGUGCAUUUUGAGACUGUUGUAUAUGAAAUAACCAAAUAUAAUUGCUUUGUGACCUUAAGGCAUUGUGAUUGCUAAGAAGGUAGUUGCUAACAUAUGUAGAAAAAAUAUUUUUUUAGUAACAUGACUAUAGAAAUAGAAGUUACCUCUGAAUGAUGGAUAUUUAAUAUCAUAUGAUGGGAUUGCUGUGGCUUUUUUUGGGGUUGGGAUUGGGGUAGGGAUUGUUCUGUAUGCAGUGGUCAUAAUAAGAAAUUUUUUAAGGCUGCUAUAUAUGGCUGUGGAUGUUAUCCUCUAAAUGCUCAUUAUGUUAAUAUUUGUUUGGUACGAGAUUUAAUUCUCAUGAUGGAAUUGCUGCAUAAGAGGCCAGUCUCUAUGCAUGUUUAAUGGACCAGGAUAUAAUGGGCUUUUUUAUUUCUCUGUAUAUAAUAGAAAAAAGUACUGUUAAAACACCCUUUUAAGCAUGGUGAUGGUUGACAUUUGGUCAUUUAAAUUGUUCGAAUGUAGUUUCAUUGGAUUACAGAGAGGAGUUUCUAGAUUGCCUUGUUUGUUUUAAACAAAUAAAAGCACAAUUUAGAAGAUAGAGAAUAAGAAAUUUUUGAAGGCUAUAGGAGUUGCAUAUGUACAGAGAUAGUUCUUGAUCAGGCAGGCUUUACUCCAUGUUCAGAUGUUGGGAAUCUUACAUGUAUUUUAUUAAUACUGUAAUGUUAAACUGGUGUGGGUUUUUGUUACUCUUUUAACUAGUAACAAAAUUGGAAUUGUGGAAUUGCCUCUCAAUUCCAAAAAUUAAUUCCUUUUCAGUUGAUAAUGUUACAUAUUUUAUUACAGUGUUAUAUAUAAUGUAACUUUCUUUGUUUAACAUCUAAUUUUUUACAUAUAUAGACACAACUGUAAAUAUUAUAGGACAGACAUUUUUAUUUCCCCAAAGUGAUAUUAUAUCUAGCCUCUUCAGAUAUUUAGGCUCAACUUUUAGGUUUUGGUAAAUGUGUAGUGUCUAGUAUAAUAUCUCAUUGUUUUACGUAAGAUUUAUCAUGGUAGAAAUGUCAUAUCAAUUGGUCUGACUCUGUUCAUGGUUUUCAGAUGUUUGUAUACCAACAGAAAAUACAGUUACUAGAUAAAUCCUACAUGUGGUUAAACGUAACAGGUUAGAAAAGCUUUCAUGUCAGUGGAAUUCCACAUUUAAUAAUAGCCAAAUUGUUCUUGUUUUAAUAUAUUUACAUCUAAUUAUAUAGGUGUAGGUGAUUGUAAGUUUUUUGUGAGAUGUUCACAAUUAUCUGUCAAACCUAUGGUCAUUAAAGGAUGGGAUGAUCCAAGAAAUGUUUUAUAUAAUGUGCAUAUAAUAGACACAGUUAUUAUGUUUUAUUAAAGCCAAGGAACUAUUAUAUCAGCAUGUUUUGUAAAUAUAUUAAUUAUAAAUACUGAAAAAUUACCGUAACAGUUGUCAGAUUAUCUCUUAGUAAAAAAUUAGGCAGGUGAAGUUCAUGGGAUUUUGUUACAUUGUUCUUUGUGGAAUAGUUAGGAUAUAUAAUAGUUUUUCCUUUAAACUUUUAAUUCUUGAUUUUACAGGGUUUCUUUCAUGUACACCUGUGUAAUAUACACACAACUGUAUAGUAUACAGGUCUAUAAAAUAAGUGUUUAUUAAAAAUCAUAGCAAAGAGACGUUUUUUGGCCAAGUAAUUAUCACUCAGGUUUAGUCUGUUCUUUAUGUCAUUUUGUGGUUCAUGAUGAAGGGAGUUGCAGUUUGAGCUUUAGUUGCUGAAGAUAUUGUUAGAUUGUUACCUAAGUCAAUAGACCAAUACUAGUUUUUGUUUCAGAACAUCUGCUGAUAGGCACUUAUUUUUUGAAUACACAUCUGAGAGACAGUGUGAAAACAUUUUAUUUUGGCAAGUUGAAUCACUAAACAUGUCUGUUUAGGAUGUAUUUGGUGCUGGAGAUUGUAUUACUAUUUUUUUUUGAUAUAGAAGAUCAGUGUCAUUUUUGAAAACAUUGUGGGAUAUAUAACUUCUGUCAAUAAUUUUAGAAAUAUAUUUUCAUUGAAACAUUAGAGGUAGAAACAUUGAGUGUAAAUAGAGUGAGCAUCUUCAUGAGUUAGGCUUGAUUUUGAUUUUUUUCAAUAUUUGUGUAUUUUGUGAAGUUUUUAUUUAAAUUUCAGAUAGUUAACAUACAGCAUAGUAAUAAUUUCAGGUGUACAAUAUAGUGAUUCAGCACUUCAUACAACACCUAGUCCUCAUCACAAGUGCACUCCUUAAUCCACAUCACUUAGUUAAUCUGUGCCCUCAGCCACCUCCCGCCUCUGGUAACACUGUUUCAUAAUAGUUAAGAGUCUUUUCUUGGUUUGCCUCUCUUUCUCUCUCUUUGUGUUACUUAGUUUUUUUUUCAACAACUUUUGUUAAAGUACAGAAGCUGUCAUUCAUAUUUUUAAAUGUGAAAUUUGAAUAAUUUCUUAUUUGAAUAUAAAUUUUGGAUGUUAAAUGUUGAGAACAGUGCAGGGAAACCUUUCACUAACUUAUAUAACAUCUUAAUUUCUAGCUAUAUAGAAAUAACCUCUCCACACAUAAACACACAGCAUGCAUACACGCACAUAGCAAAUCUAUUAAUGUUGAACAACUAGGGCAAAAACAGAACUGUUAGAAGACCACUUCUGUGUUUUCACCUGGUGUGUGUUGGGUUGUUACUAAGUAGUUAUGCACAUGUGAUCAGAUGUUUAUUUUUAUACCAUAUAAUUUUAUAGAUGUUCAGAUAUUGCUGUUAUAUAUUUGAAUAGAUUUCACCUAAAAUUAGAGCAAAUAAACUUUUUUUUAAUGCUUGUAGACAUGAAAUGAUAAAAUAACCUUCUGUUGUUAAGUGUGAUGUCUAGAAUGCUGUGUAUGUAAUUAUUUAUAAAACACUUGUUAUUUCUAGGUACAUAGACAUUGCUGACAAACAUACAUUUAAAUAUCAUACUUUUAAAAAUCAGUAUAGUAAUUAGAUUCUCUGCAUGUUCAGUGGUUUGUUGUGAGGGAUAUGGAUGGAGGGGUGGAUGUUUUCCAAUCUCGUCUAUAAUGUAUGAUUUUUUUUAAUUGUUAACUAUUCUUUUUGGUUUAAAGAGAUGGUGAACAUCACGUAUAUGUUGCAGUCAUGCUAUUGAUAAAAUUGGCCAUUAUGAAUAGUUUGUGAGUGAUCAUGAAGAACGUGCGAUUUAGAGACUAGUACAGCAGAGUUUUACACACUGAAACAGUAUUGUGGGAUACACGAAAAGAAUAUGGGAGAAGAUGGGAUAUGAGAAGUACAUGAUGAAAAGAAGAGAUUUAUAGAUAACCUGAGGACAACUGACAUCAGGAAUAUACCUCAUGCUAUGGACUUCCUUAAUGUAAAAGUCUUAAGUGGGAACAAUAGGAGGUGAUAGUUCCAUGAAAACACACUUCCGCCCUCCUGGUUUGUAAUUGCAAGAAUUGGUAUCAUCAGACCUCUCAUUGGCAGUAUUAUUCAUUCAAGGGUUCUUCACCUCUGAUCUCUGGUUCCAGGAAUUCCCCUUGGAGAAAGUACUGUGUUGACUAAACAGAAAAACUGAUGCUAUUGCUUCUGCCACCAUCUUCAAAUCCAAAAGACAGUCUUCAUAAUGUAUGGAGACUUCUGUUUCAUGUGUUGGAGUGGAUACUCCUCGCAGAUCAGAAAAAAUGGACUGACAAAACUCAAGUUUGAAAAUUACCUAGAGUGUCAUUGGAGGGAAUUGUAACCAGGCAUGUUGACUGUUUUCAAAAUUGACAUUGGACUAAAUCUCAGGAGCUUGAAUGGUGGAGAUGUUAUUACCCAGAGAGGUUCAGUAUGGUGUGAUUGAAAGGCAUCAUUUCAGUAUUCCCAUUAGAAUAAAGUACAUGUAUUUAUAAUUUUCACUUAUUACAGGGUAAAUUUAAAAUUGAUGGACAAAAAAUUACCCUUUUCCAGAUUUCAAAAGGCACAGAAAUUUAUCAAGGAUAAACUUUUUACUUCUUAAAUGCUUUUUUUCUCCUAAUUCUACUCUCCAAAAUUAUCUACAGUUAAUGGAGUUUUGUGUUUAUACUCUUCGGGUAUAUUGAUGAACAAAAUUUAUGCUAGUUGUCUUUUGGGCCAAUAUAUUAGCUACAAAUUUUCUAGGCAGUUAAUAUGCUUUAUUUAGAAAUGAUUUUUAACUUUUCUGGCUAAUUUGUUGAAAAUAGUCAUAGUAUUUCCACCUUCUCAGAAUUAAGUAUACCCAAAAUUUACAUUCUGAGUCAAAAGUAAAAAUUUUCCUCAAAUGGUAUAGAUUGUCCUCAUCAGUUUUUCUUCCAGUAUUUGUUUAUGAGAUUUCUCUUUUCUUAAAUAGUACAAACAUUACAUUUCAGAGUUUUAAUCUUUGAUAAUGUGGUGUUACCAAAAAUUGCUUUUAUUCUCUUACUGUUCAGUUCAGUCAUCUUCAUAUAUCCUUAAAACUUACUAGUCACUUGUUUUUUCAUUUUCCUCUGUUGUUUUUUUUUUUAUUUCCCUCCUAAUAUUAGUGUUUUUGUAAUGGUUUCUAAGAGAUCAUUUAUGACUAAGUAUGUUAGUAUGUUAACCAUUUGUCAUGCAUUGCAAAUUACAUACUAUAUAUUCUCAUCACCAUUUUACUGUGAUGUUUUGGUUGUACAAAAGUUGUGUUUUCAAAUACAAUGCUCUGCUUUA